CCAGCGCCAGCCCACACCCCCGCCUCGGCCCCGUGGCGGCGGUCGGUGGGGAGAAAGACCAAAACCCACCACGCGCCGCCGUCAAAUUCACGGCUCUGCUCAUGGUUUCUGGGAAGGGCUAGAAACGUGGCCAUAAAGAGAAUGGCGUCCAUUUACAUAAUGCUUUGUCUGCAUUUUGCAACUCUCUUUCGUUUACCCGCAGAACCCCCACCUCCUGCGCUGGUGUCGUUUAGUCGCUGCCGCCUCGUCAGACAUUUAAGACAAUGGCGUGCAUCUUGGGGACCGCAUUUACUCCUGCUCUGGGGAGUUCCUGCGGUUUUCCCCGCGCGGCUUACGCUCCCGCUGCUGCCUUUCGGCCCUUUCCCCGCUCGGUGCAGCCACGGCACCCACGCUCUCCGGGGGCGGCCCCCAACAGGGCCCGCCAUCUUGGAGGGCCUUUCUUGCCGUGUGUGGAGCCGCGCGUUCCUCCCGCAGAUGAAAUCACUUAGGCCCAGAGAGAUGCAGUGACUAAUUCAAGGUCACACAGUGUCGAGGAUGGAAUCCAGACCUGAUACAGUUAUUGACUUGCGUUACCUUGCGGAUAUGUGAGUGAAUUCCACACCACCCAUUUUACAGAUGAAGCCACUGAGAUACAGAGCAACUGACUAAAUAGUCACCACCCCACUCCUGGAGCUUCACAUGACUCUUCUCCCAGGCCUGUCUCCUGGAACCAUACAGGAGCCGUGCAGUAUGUGACUGUGUGAGGCAUGAGGCGCAGCAGGCUGUGAUACAGACUAAUUGAUGGUGAUCUCAACUUCUGUGACAGCUUCAGUUACCAUCUACACAUGGAUGAUGACCAAAUCUCUCUCCAGACCAGAAUAUCCAGCUGUUCACAUGGACAGCUCCACUGGGAUGUUUUGAAGACUCAGCAAAAUGCAGCCUUCUGCUCUUCCCCUCUUGCUCCUCCUCCAGUGUCCUGUCACGUGGAUGGACUGCAAAAUCAUUGUAAGCCCUGCUCCCUUGGACUGCACAGUGGGAGCUGGAAACACGAGUGACCCCAUUGGGACCCUUUGUAUUCAUAAGCACCAAAUAUACCAGGAGCUGGGUUUGAGAAUUCUUCAUAAUUGGCAGCAUUGUGAUGGCUUCUUCCUAGUUUCUUCUGUGCAUGUCUCAAGGGUUUCCACAUCCGCAGACGGAAGAGCUUAAUCCUCCAUCAGUAUCCUCCGACAGCGCAUUCAGUUGAGGGCAGUGUCUUAUCUUCCAACGUCCGUUCACCCUCAUGCUUCACACAUACUCUGCCACUGAUGGUUUCUUAGACUCUGGCUUUCGUCAGGCCCUUGAUAUCCACCAGUUACCCUUUGGUAAGAGAUUAAGCCAUUCCAAUACUCUCCCAGAGGCAUUUGCAUUUAGAACUACAGGUAUAAUAGAAAUAAUGGAAGACGUUGCAUUCCUGAGGGAAGGCGAUCCUGGAAUGAAUUAUUCAUUUGCUCAUUCUAGAACAUCCCUGUCCAGUAGAUCUUUCUGCACCGAUGGAAAUGUUCUUCUGUGCUCUGCAAUACGAUAGCUGCUAGCCAUGUGUGGCUAGUGUAACUGAGGAGCUGUGUUUUUCAUUUUAAUUAAAGUUAAAUUUAAAUUGACAAGAGAAAAGCAGGCAUUAUUAGGUUGCAUCCACUGGAUUGGUGAGAGACCCCUGACAACCCACUUGCCUGCCCUACUAUCCAAGCGCCCCCCCAAAGGUAACUUUAAAAACGGGUCUUUCCAAGGUCGUGGAAAAAGGACUUGGUGUGCCGCCACCACUUCUGCCUUUGGUCUCUGUGCCUUCCGCAGAGCUUCCAACAGCGAUGCGUUGGGACAGUGUCUGGAGGCUCAUGACCUCUGUGGUUCGGAGGAAGCACUGUGAGGCGGGCCCAGGGAAGAAUUUGCCAUUUUCAAUGGAAAACAAGUGGCAGUUACUAAUUAUGAUGACUUUGUACUUUGGAUCUUGGUUUGCUGCACCUUUGUUUAUAAUAAGCAGUUACUUAAGAAAUAAGGAUGUUUUAGUUAAUCCACGAAACAGGUAUGAAGAGCAGCUUUUUUUGGCUGUGUCAGGCAGCAUGCGGGAUCUUAGUUCCCCAACCAGGGAUCGAACACAUGCCCCCUGCAUUGGGAGCACAGAGUCUUAACCACUGGACCGCCAGGGAAGUCCCAAGAGCAGCAUUUUAAGAGGUGCAAUUUCUUUGAAAAGUGGAUCAAACUUAUGACCUUAACAUACUAACUAUUUUUGUAAAUAAACUCAUGAUAUAAAUCCUUAGUGCUUCUCUGAAAUAUGGAACGUGAUAAUCGAGCAUGUGCUUACGUUUGUAUUUGGGUAAUAUUCCAGUAUUAGUUUCUUGAUUAAAUAUGUGUGUGAUCUUGGGACUUCCCGGCAGUCCAGUGCAGGGGGUGCAGUUUCGAUCCCUGGUCAGGGAGCUAAGAUCCCACAUGCUUCGCAGACAAAAAACCAAAACAUAAAACAGAAGUAAUAUUGUAAUAAAUUCAAUAAAGACUUAAAAAAAAAUGGUCCAGAUCAAAAAAAUCUUAAAAAAAUAUAUAUGUGCGUGAUCUUAAAAAAAGGAAAGAAAAUGGGUCUUUGAAAUCAGAUGGGCUUUCUUUUCCCACCCCUCUAGCCUUGACCCCUCAGUGUGUCUCCCCAAGAAAGCAGACAUCUGCGGCUGUCCCCCACAGGCCUCUCCUAGCCCUAGUUUUUCUCACUCGUUGCCAUAGGACACUGCCCAUGCCUUUCCUUCUGCCCUGCCGCCCCCUCUCUCUAUUCCUGCUCGUGCCACGGUAAACCCUACUUCCUCCAAGAAGACUUCCCCGACUCCUGUCCCUUCCAGAUGAGGCCAGUUUUAGGGCUCUGAACAGAUUCCAUUUGGCUUCCCAGUUGAGGGUGGAGGUGGCAGGGAUGGAUCUCAGGAAGAUGUAGCUGCAGGAUGGAUGUGCAUU